GACGAACGCUGGCGGCGUGCCUAAUACAUGCCAGUAGAACGCACAGUUUAUACCGUAGCUUGCUACACCAUAGACUGUGAGUUGCGAACGGGUGAGUAACGCGUAGGUAACCUGCCUGGUAGCGGGGGAUAACUAUUGGAAACGAUAGCUAAUACCGCAUAAUAUUAAUUAUUGCAUGAUAAUUAAUUGAAAGGUGCAAUUGCACCACUACCAGAUGGACCUGCGUUGUAUUAGCUAGCAGGUGAGGUAACGGCUCACCUAGGCGACGAUACAUAGCCGACCUGAGAGGGUGAUCGGCCACACUGGGACUGAGACACGGCCCAGACUCCUACGGGAGGCAGCAGUAGGGAAUCUUCGGCAAUGGACGAAAGUCUGACCGAGCAACGCCGCGUGAGUGAAGAAGGUUUUCGGAUCGUAAAGCUCUGUUGUAAGAGAAGAACGGGUGUGAGAGUGGAAAGUUCACACUGUGACGGUAUCUUACCAGAAAGGGACGGCUAACUACGU
rnacentral:rRNA from 1 species